UACGUAGGGGGCAAGCGUUGUCCGGAAUCAUUGGGCGUAAAGAGCGUGUAGGCGGCUCGGUAAGUCCGCUGUGAAAGUCCAGGGCUCAACCCUGGAAUGCCGGUGGAAACUGUCGAGCUAGAGUCCGGAAGAGGCGAGUGGAAUUCCUGGUGUAGCGGUGAAAUGCGUAGAUAUAGGGAGGAACACCGGUGGCGAAGGCGGCGAUCUGGGUCGAUACUGACGCUGAGGUGCGAAAGCGUGGGGAGCAAACAGG
rnacentral:rRNA from 1 species